AUGGAGCGAGAGGAUUGUAUCCCCUAUUCGAUCGGUGCUAUUGUGAUGUCUCCCAUCCACCUUAAAAAAUCAUAUUAUAGCCAUAACCCAAUUAUACACUGCACUAUUCAGAUCUGGAGUCAAAUAUCAAAACAACUCAAACUUAGGAAGCUAUCCUUUACACUCCCAAUAUCAGCAAAUCCAUCAUUCACCCCUUCUAUUAUAGAUGGAGACUUCAAUAGAUGGAAAGAACUUGGACUGCACAGUGUGGGAAAUCUGUACGUUAGUGGUUUGUUUGGGUCAUUUCAACAACUACAAGAGAAAUAUGGUCUGUCAAAAAGGGAAUUUUUCAGAUAUCUCCAAGUCAGACACUUUGUUAGGACACACCAGAACCAUUUUGAAAACGCCACCCCUGACAAGCUAGACAGGUGUCUCAGAGAUUGCACAAUGGAGAGGAAUGCAAUUUCAGCUAUAUACGAUUCAUUUCAAGUGCUAGACCAGGUGAACAUGGAAUACAUAAAGGAAGGCUGGGAAGAAGAAUUGGGUAUGGGAAUAGCGGAGGAUAUAUGGAAGGAAAGCCUGAGAUAUAUCAACACUUGCUCCCUGAAUGCUAGACAUUGCUUGAUCCAGUUUAAAAUUCUGCAUAGGCUGCAUUAUUCAAGAGUAAAAUUAUAUAGAAUCUUCCCAGAAAUAUCGCCCAUCUGUGAAAAAUUUAACCAAGCGGAGGUAAACCUACUUCACAGUUACACACUAUGCCCCAAACUAGAAGGUUUCUGGACAGCAGUGUUUUCAUUUUUCUCAAAGGUCUUCAAGACUACAUUAAGGCCAGAUCCACUCUUGGUUAUACUGGGGACAUCAGGGAGCACUGGGAACCUGCAGAAUAUGCAACGCCGCCUUCUAUCCUAUGGUCUCCUCCAAUGGAAAAAGAUGGAGACACCAACUUUUAAAGCAUGGUCAAGGGCACCAACUGAUACCUUGCAUUUUGAAAGGAUUCAUUAUUCUCUUAGUGACAGAUUGGAGGACUUCAAAAGGAUGUGGCAACCAAUUAUUUCUUUCUUGAAACAGGAUGUAGAACAACCUGAGUAG
rnacentral:lncRNA from 15 species